rnacentral:rRNA from 1 species
AGUGAACGCUGGCGGUAGGCCUAACACAUGCAAGUCGAACGGCGGCACAGUAAGAGCUUGCUCUUACGGGUGGCGAGUGGCGGACGGGUGAGGAAUACAUCGGAAUCUACUUUUUCGUGGGGGAUAACGUAGGGAAACUUACGCUAAUACCGCAUACGACCUACGGGUGAAAGCAGGGGAUCUUCGGACCUUGCGCGAUUGAAUGAGCCGAUGUCGGAUUAGCUAGUUGGCGGGGUAAAGGCCCACCAAGGCGACGAUCCGUAGCUGGUCUGAGAGGAUGAUCAGCCACCCUGGAACUGAGACACGGUCCAGACUCCUACGGGAGGCAGCAGUGGGGAAUAUUGGACAAUGGGCGCAAGCCUGAUCCAGCCAUACCGCGUGGGUGAAGAAGGCCUUCGGGUUGUAAAGCCCUUUUGUUGGGAAAGAAAAGCAGCAGGUUAAUACCCCGCUGUUCUGACGGUACCCAAAGAAUAAGCACCGGCUAACUUCGUG